rnacentral:rRNA from 1 species
GAUGAACGCUGGCGGCGUGCCUAAUACAUGCAAGUCGAGCGGACGGACAAUAAGCUUUCGUCUUUGAGGUUAGCGGCUGACGGGUGAGUAACGCGUGGAUAAGCUACCUAUAUUACUUGGAGAACAUCGUGAAACCGGAUCUAAUACCGCAGAAUAUUUUGUACCGGAUAGUUCAAGAGUGAUAGACGGUCUUGCUGUCUCAUUGAGAUGAAGCCGCGCUGCAUUAGCUAGUUGGUAAGGUAACGGCCUACCAAGGCAACGAUGCAUAGCCGACCUGAGAGGGUGAUCGGCCACACUGGAACUGAGACACGGUCCAGACUCCUACGGGAGGCAGCAGUAGGGAAUCUUGCGCAAUGGGCGAAAGCCUGACGGAGCAACGCCGCGUGAGUGAAGAAGGUCUUCGGAUCGUAAAACUCUGUUAUUAGGGAAGAAAAUAUGUGGAAGUAACUGUGCAUAUCCUGACGGUACCUAAUCAGAAAGCAACGGCUAACUACGUG